AAAUUCCCAUUUAAUUCGACAAUAAAAAAAGGCAUAUUAAGCGGUGGACCAAACUCAGUCAACAUAAAAAUUGGACCAAGUCAUCAGACCUCAACUAAAACUCAAAAUCCCUUAAUGUCGAUCACCCUUAAUUCCCUCUUUAUCCCUAACGUCCAAUUCUCACAAUCAGAAAUCUUCGUCUUGCUCUACGACUGACGUGGCUUUUCUUCUUGGUGCGGUUUUACUCAGAUUCAACAAGGUGCCCCAUCAGUACCGCAUCACCAGUGCACAUCACCAACGAUCUUCAAAAUGAAGAAAAUGCAAAAAGAAACAAAGAAACGGCGACACUAUAAAGAGAUCAGAUCAGGUGUUUGAUGAGGUAAGGAGUUGUUGUAAUAAAAGUGAAAUUACCUACUCAUCCCUACCAUUAAACAAGUCAUUAUCUGGUAGGUUCUGAUGAUAUCUGUGUUCAAUAUAUCUUCGUAAUCUCAACCAAUAAUUGGAUCACAGAUUCCACAAAUUCAGUUUUCUAUAUGGAAUAUUGGAGUUACAAUCACAUUUCGUUUUUCAUAUGGAGUAUUGGAGUCACAUUUAAGAUUUCCGCCUGUGCUUAUGCCUUCCCCAACGACAGGAAAAUGGAAUUCUUUUAAAUGAUGAAUUCCUAGAUGUUUAUAUGACAAUAAUGCAAGUAAUUGCAUUAUUCAACUCGGGUUUCAAAGGCAAUUUAAGGAAAACGAAGUCCCAAAUAUAAGUUCAAUUUGUUCCCAUCCCCAAACGUUUCUGGUGCGUCACAAUAGGUUUAUUUUCUAAUUAAUAUUCAUAUUUUUAAUUUUUUUUUUCAUGGUAUUGCUAGUUUUUAGGGGUUUUAGUGAGGAUUCCAUUGUUUCACUGGUGAUGUGAAGAUCAACAAAAUACCCUACAUAUAAUGAUAACGUAUUAGUUUCUUAAAAAUUUGAUUUAGGGUUUGUUCGCGUCAGAAUGGGAACUUUAGUCAAAAUAGAAAAAUAUGGUUCUUGAUCUUUUUAGAUGGAAGCGGUAUUUUGGUCAAAACUUAAAAAUGUUGAUGAAUUGUUGUUUAUCAAAUGCACUAUAAGAUGAUUUAAAUGUUUAUGACAUGCAAUAAUCGUUUCUAUAUUGUUUAUUAUCCUUAACUAAUAUUCCAUGUAAUGAUAAUUGUGAAAUGCCACGUUGGAUUGACGGAAACGUGUGCAUGAUCAUUUGUGUCACUAUCAAAUCACAUGAGCAUGGUGGGUAAGGUAGCACCGCCCAUAAUGGCCCAUUAGUUCCAAGGAGAUUAACUUGUAAUCUUCAUUGAAGAUCUUGUGAUCUUCAAAGUAAUUAGAUAAGGAAGUGGAGAAUUGAGAAGUAAUGUAAUUAAUUUCUUUGCACACAACCUAUUUUUGAAACAUGAAACACUAUGAAACUUUGCAUUUUAAGAGACAUCAA